rnacentral:rRNA from 1 species
UACGUAGGGUGCAAGCGUUAAUCGGAGUUACUGGGCGUAAAGCGUGCGCAGGCGGUUUUGUAAGUCUGUCGUGAAAUCCCCGGGCUUAACCUGGGAAUUGCGAUGGAGACUGCAAGGCUAGAAUCUGGCAGAGGGGGGUAGAAUUCCACGUGUAGCAGUGAAAUGCGUAGAGAUGUGGAGGAACACCGAUGGCGAAGGCAGCCCCCUGGGAUAACACUGACGCUCAUGCACGAAAGCGUGGGGAGCAAACAGG